rnacentral:rRNA from 1 species
UACGAAGGGGGCUAGCGUUGUUCGGAAUUACUGGGCGUAAAGCGCGCGCAGGCGGUCUUCCAAGUCAGUGGUGAAAGCCCGGAGCUCAACUCCGGAACUGCCAUUGAAACUGUUAAACUUGAGGACGAGAGAGGUGAGUGGAAUUCCCAGUGUAGAGGUGAAAUUCGUAGAUAUUGGGAAGAACACCAGUGGCGAAGGCGGCUCACUGGCUCGUAUCUGACGCUCAGGCGCGAUAGCGUGGGGAUCAAACAGG